GGCGCGGCCGGGCAGCACCGCCUCCUCUUGCCCCCUCGCGCCCGGCGGGGAGGGCGCUGCAGGGCGGCAGGCAGCCGCGGCGCAUGGAGGAGGAUCUGCCCUGCCGCACGAGGCGACGUGCGCGGCCCCGGCCGGAGGGCAGCGACCGGCGGGCACGGCAGGGCAGGACACGGCACAGCAGGCGAACUACAACCAAGCGUUAGCAGAAAUAUCAAAGCUACCUGAACAAACCUCUCUAUGAAAGCGUUCCUCCCCUGCUGCUGCUGCUCAUGAUAACGAUGUCCAACACAAUAAGGUAACCCUCAACACCUGAAGCACAUUUAAAAGCCAGUUUUCUGUAGAAGGGAAAUCACAGUGAUAACCUAUUGCCUGCAAACAGCUAGGCCUACAUAUAAUAAAGACACACCAGGAGAAUCUGAAACCAAGAACAUUUUCUCAUUAUACAGCAGUAUAGUUCAGAUAGUGAAACUGUUUGGGGGGUUAAUGUGUUUGUAGUGCUAUAAUUGGCUGUAGCAAUAUUUUUUUUAUACAGGAAUUGGUAUGUGUAGUCUAUGUACCUGUAAUACUGCAGUAUUCAUACAAAAAAUAAAUUCCAACACCACCUGUAAACCAAGCUUAAAUCUCCAUUCAUGAGGUCCUUUCUCUUUCAAGAACUCUUCUUUGCCUAAAAUAGUUUGUUUCCUGGGGAGGUGGUAGUGGGGAAGUGUGCCUUAAAAGGAAAGUGUCAAAAAAAUCCCAACCAACCAAACAAGCAAAAAAAGGCAGCUUGCCAUUUUUAACUUAAAUAGCUGGCUGUUUCACAAAAGAUAUUAGGAUAGCAGACAAUAGUGCUGUCACCCCAGCAUGGCUAAAAAACCACUCCAGCACAUAUGCAAGUAAUAUUUUAAUCAGAGCCAAAAAAGCACAUGGCAAAACUCUACACUGAGGAGACAGUUUUUGCUAUAAGUUUUUAGCCUUAAUUCAGAAUAGUACUAAAUUAAUACUGCAGGUAAUCAAAAGAAGAGUUAGCUUACAGUGUCUUAGUUCUUCAGACUAGGCAUGAACAGAAUGGGAGUCAGAAACAAACCACCACCACACACCCCCCUGGCCUGCUACUCAGCCUCAACUGAUAACUCCUGAAUUGAUUGCUGGCAGAGGAGAGCUACAUCCCACCUAAAAGCCCAGGUGGAACAGCUAGAGGAAGGCAGGUGAGGAUGUAUAUAUAGAUCACACUGAAUUUUUGUUCAUACCAGUUCACACUAAAACUUAACUUCCAUGUUUUGUGGUUCUUUUGUUUUGUUUUUAAAUCAAGUAGAGCUGUUUGCUAUCCAAGUUUAUAAACAGUACUUCAGAAGAUACCUUUCAGAGUCUAGAGAGAGUCUGUGUUACAAUGUUCUGCCAAACAGAGUGAAGGGGGCUAGCAAAAAGAAACAAAACCUAGAACCAACUGAACCUGUACAGUCCUCAUGAUUAAGCAGCUCAUUCCCCAACCAGCCAGAAAUGCUUAAGGUUAUUCAACAGCAGGACAGUUAGAGGUUUAAAUAAAUUUAUUCUUCAUAAAGUUUCUAGCUAGGUGGUCUCAUUCAGGAGUAGGAUGGCCCUAGGGAUUGGAGAAAUUGGGACGCAUUAUACUGGGAUGUGAAUUUACAUCCUACUAACUCCCUUUGUUGAUACUGUUAUAUGCAUUAAGUACAAAGCAAAUUACUUUAAUUUCCAAGGACUUUCUAACUGGCAAAUCAAACAAAAUCGAUAUUGCUGGCAGUCCAGAGGAGGAUCUGGCACUGCAAAUCCACACGCUUAUUGGCGGGCUGUCAACCUGACAUAUGGGUAAGCUGCCAGGUAAUCAAUGCAUACAUUGCUUCCAAUACAACAAAAUAAAGCCAAUGGGGAGAAAAAAAAAAUAUAUAUAUACUAUUUUGUCUUCCAGUAGGAAAUCAGAAGAAUUUAGAUCACAUCUUGUUUACUCCAAUUACCCAGAGCAUUCAGGUGUAAAUCGAUGUUGCUUAGGAUCCGAAUUAGCUCUAGAUACACUUCUUAGCUCUCUCUGUAGUCUCUUGAUUGCUGGAUUUGGUUGAGAAUGAUCUGAGAGCAAUCUGGGAAGUAUUACUAACUUUAAAUAAAGUUAUUUUGCUGAAUAGAUUUUUAAAAAUACUUGCAUUGGUAUUUCUCAAUGCUAUAUCAUUGAGUGUACUUUAAAGCGGAAUGCAGUACUGAAAUUUCUGCUGGAACUGUAGUAAUGAAAGCUUUGUAGAGGCCAUGUUUAUAUUUGAACACUAUAAUAUACUAAUUUUUAACAAAUAAUUUGAUCGUUUCCUAAAGACAGCUAGAAGGGCAUUACAUAUAGGACCUUAUUAUUAGCCUAUUAAAAAACAUCAAAACUCAGAAGCCAGCAUGAUAAUGAUCCUACUUCUAUGGUAAUUGCCUCAUUACUGUCAGUCUUGACUAGCUCCCAACCAGUUCAGAAAACUGCUUCAUACUAGAAACUAUAUUGGUGGAUUGAAGUAUUUAUGGCAUUUAUUCUAUCUCACUUUCAACUUUAGUGAAUUUCAUGCGUCUUUGUCCCUGUACUGAAAAUAACUUCUAAGGCACUCAACCUUACACAACAUACCCCAUUUUUACAGAAGUAAUGAAAUUAGUUUAUGGGUACAAGCAUCUAAAUAAGAAGUCUGUAUCACUGGCAGAACAGAAGAGCAACAUAUUCUCACACACCAACUUUUAAGCGUAGAAUCAUAGAACCAAGUGGGUUGGAAAAGUCAUCAAGUCCAACUGCUACCCCAGGACUGCCAAGUCCACCACUAAACCAUGUCACUUAAGGGCCUCAUCUACAUGGUUUUUGAACACUUCCAGGGAUGGUGAUUCCACCACUGCCCUGGUCAGCCUGUUCCAAUGCCUGAGCACCCUUUCAGGGAAGAAAUUUUUCCUAAUAUCCAGUCUCAACCUCCCCUGUUGCAGCUUGAGGCCGUUACCUCGUGUGCUCUCACUUGUUCCUUGGGAAAAGAGAUCAGCCACCUCCUGGCUCCAUCCUCCUUUCUGGUAGUUGCAGAGAGCUCAAGGUCCCCCCUGAGCCUUCUCUUCUCCAGACUAAACAAGCCCAGUUCCCCCAGCCAUUCCUCUUCAGACUUAUAACAACAUUCAGCAUAUAAAAAUUCAUAUAACAUUCACCAUACAACAACAUUCUAUUUCAUAUGCAACAGAAGCUGGAAUUCCAGUAAAUUAAAAUAUAAGUUUGCAUUUCUUUCCAAUCAGCAGUCAAUCUUCCUUAAGGUAAUCUUCUGAAAAGUUGUACUGUGCAGGAAAAGAAAAGAGGGCAAGACAGCAAAUAAUAAAGACUGCUUUACCUAUAUACAACAUUCAAUUGUAAUCGCAUCUUGUAGGAAGUACCCUGCUUUACCAGCUUUAUAAUUUGAAAAUAGAAAAAAAAAAACCAAAAUCCUGCUAGCAGAUACUAAAAUGUGUUAAAGACAAGACAACACAUGCCACUGCCCCUCAGUAUGAGAAAGGAUUGUAGAGUUAAGCCUGUAGACUUGUUUAACCCUUAUAGUGGCACUGCUGUCGUCAGUGUUAUUUGCUUUCUGAUGACUUAACAUUUUUCUUUAAAAUAGGACAACUCUCUCUGAUAGACCUGUAGCUAAGAAUAUUUUACAAAAUAAGUAAUAAUUCCCCCCCUUUAUUCUAAUAAAAGCAUCCAUUGCAUUUUUACAGACAAAUUUUCACUUUGCAAAUCAUACGUACAAUGCCACUGCCAGUCCUAUCUUUUGCAGCAUUUUUCUGUGGAAGUGAAUGAUUGAAGAAUUCACAAACCAGCCGAUUCUGUGUACAAAAAUGUUAUGAAUAAAAAUAUAAAAAGAAUACCAUGAAGAUCAGCAGAAGUUGACUGAGGUCUGUUUCUGUGCUUGAAACGCAAGUGCCUGUUUCCAAAAGUUUUAUUAAAGGAUGUAUUAAAAUCAA